rnacentral:rRNA from 1 species
GUUGUAUAGUCAAGUAAUUAAGUGCAUGUGGUGGAUGCCUUGGCAGUCAGAGGCGAUGAAAGACGUGAUAGCCUGCGAAAAGCUCCGGGGAGGCGGCAAAUAUCCUUUGAUCCGGAGAUGUCUGAAUGGGGGAACCCACCUACUUUAAGGUAGGUAUUGCAACAUGAAUACAUAGUGUUGCAAGGCGAACGAGGGGAAGUGAAACAUCUCAGUACCCUUAGGAAAAGAAAUCAAUUGAGAUUCCCUCAGUAGCGGCGAGCGAACGGGGAUCAGCCCAUUAAGUUAUGUGUGUUUUAGUGGAACGCUCUGGGAAGUGCGAACGUAGAGGGUGAUAUUCCCGUACACGAAAGGGCACACAUAAUGAUGACGAGUAGGGCGAGGCACGUGAAACCUUGUCUGAAUAUGGGGGGACCAUCCUCCAAGGCUAAAUACUCCUGACUGACCGAUAGUGAACCAGUACCGUGAGGGAAAGGCGAAAAGAACCCCUGUGAGGGGAGUGAAAUAGAUCCUGAAACCGCAUGCAUACAAGCAGUGGGAGCACCUUCGUGGUGUGACUGCGUACCUUUUGUAUAAUGGGUCAGCGACUUAUAUUCAGUAGCAAGGUUAACCGUAUAGGGGAGCCGUAGAGAAAUCGAGUCUUAAUAGGGCGUUUAGUUGCUGGGUAUAGACCCGAAACCAGGCGAUCUAUCCAUGAGCAGGUUGAAGGUUGGGUAACACUAACUGGAGGACCGAACCCACUGUCGUUGAAAAGCCAGGGGAUGACUUGUGGAUAGGGGUGAAAGGCUAAUCAAGCCUGGUGAUAGCUGGUUCUCCCCGAAAGCUAUUUAGGUAGCGCCUCGGACGAAUACCAUAGGGGGUAGAGCACUGUUUCGGCUAGGGGGUCAUCCCGACUUACCAAACCGAUGCAAACUCCGAAUACCUAUGAGUACUAUCCGGGAGACAGACUGCGGGUGCUAACGUCCGUAGUCAAGAGGAAAACAAUCCAGACCGCCAGCUAAGGCCCCAAAAUCAUAGUUAAGUGGGAAACGAUGUGGGAAGGCAUAGACAGCUAGGAGGUUGGCUUAGAAGCAGCCACCCUUUAAAGAAAGCGUAAUAGCUCACUAGUCGAGUCGGCCUGCGCGGAAGAUGUAACGGGGCUAAAACUAUGUGCCGAAGCUGCGGAUNNNNNNNNAUGCUGGAGGUAUCAGAAGUGCGAAUGCUGACGUGAGUAACGACAAAACGGGUGAAAAACCCGUUCGCCGAAAGACCAAGGGUUCCAGUCCAACGUUAAUCGGGGCUGGGUGAGUCGACCCCUAAGGCGAGGCCGAAAGGCGUAGUCGAUGGGAAAAUGGUUAAUAUUCCAUUACUUCUGUGUAAUGCGAUGAGAGGACGGAGAAGGCUAAAUCAGCCUGGCGUUGGUUGUCCAGGUGAAAGGAUGUAGGCAUGUAUCUUAGGCAAAUCCGGGGUACUCUAUGCUGAGAUCUGAUAGCAAGCUGUACUUGUACAGCGAAGUGGUUGAUGCCAUGCUUCCAGGAAAAGUCUCUAAGCUUCAGUUACACAGGAAUCGUACCCGAAACCGACACAGGUGGUCAGGUCGAGUAGACCAAGGCGCUUGAGAGAACUCUGCUGAAGGAACUAGGCAAAAUGGUACCGUAACUUCGGGAGAAGGUACGCUGUUGUUGGUGAUGGAACUCGCUUCCUGAGCUGACGACAGCCGCAGAAACCAGGCCGCUGCAACUGUUUAUUAAAAACAUAGCACUCUGCAAACACGAAAGUGGACGUAUAGGGUGUGAUGCCUGCCCGGUGCUGGAAGGUUAAUUGAUGGGGUUAGCGUAAGCGAAGCUCUUGAUCGAAGCCCCAGUAAACGGCGGCCGUAACUAUAACGGUCCUAAGGUAGCGAAAUUCCUUGUCGGGUAAGUUCCGACCUGCACGAAUGGCAUAAUGAUGGCGGCGCUGUCUCCAGCAGAGGCUCAGUGAAAUCGAAAUCGCUGUGAAGAUGCAGUGUACCCGCGGCUAGACGGAAAGACCCCGUGAACCUUUACUGCAGCUUGACACUGAACUUUGACCUUACUUGUGUAGGAUAGGUGGGAGGCUUUGAAGCUGGAACGCUAGUUCCAGUGGAGCCGUCCUUGAAAUACCACCCUGGUAAUGUUGAGGUUCUAACUCUGUCCCGUGAUCCGGGACGAGGACCGUGUCUGGUGGGUAGUUUGACUGGGGCGGUCUCCUCCUAAAGAGUAACGGAGGAGUACGAAGGUGCGCUCAGCGUGGUCGGAAAUCACGCGUAGAGUAUAAAGGCAAAAGCGCGCUUAACUGCGAGACCCACAAGUCGAGCAGGUACGAAAGUAGGUCUUAGUGAUCCGGUGGUUCUGUAUGGAAGGGCCAUCGCUCAACGGAUAAAAGGUACUCUGGGGAUAACAGGCUGAUACCGCCCAAGAGUUCAUAUCGACGGCGGUGUUUGGCACCUCGAUGUCGGCUCAUCUCAUCCUGGGGCUGAAGCAGGUCCCAAGGGUAUGGCUGUUCGCCAUUUAAAGAGGUACGCGAGCUGGGUUUAGAACGUCGUGAGACAGUUCGGUCCCUAUCUACCGUGGGCGCUGGAAAUUUGAGAGGAUCUGCUCCUAGUACGAGAGGACCAGAGUGGACGAACCUCUGGUGUACCGGUUGUGACGCCAGUCGCAUCGCCGGGUAGCUAUGUUCGGAAGGGAUAACCGCUGAAAGCAUCUAAGCGGGAAGCCUACCUCAAGAUAAGAUUUCCCUAGGACUUUAUGUCCUCUAAAGAGCCGUUCGAGACUAGGACGUUGAUAGGUUGGAUGUGGAAGCAUAGUGAUAUGUGAAGCUGACCAAUACUAAUUGCUCGUGAGGCUUGACUAUACAACACCCAAGCAGUUG